rnacentral:rRNA from 1 species
UACGGAGGGUGCAAGCGUUAUCCGGAUUCACUGGGCUUAAAGGGUGCGUAGGUGGGCAGGUAAGUCAGUGGUGAAAUCUCCGAGCUUAACUCGGAAACUGCCGUUGAUACUAUUUGUCUUGAAUAUUGUGGAGGUAAGCGGAAUAUGUCAUGUAGCGGUGAAAUGCUUAGAUAUGACAUAGAACACCAAUUGCGAAGGCAGCUUACUACACAACGAUUGACGCUGAGGCACGAAAGCGUGGGGAGCAAACAGG